rnacentral:rRNA from 1 species
AUUGAACGCUGGCGGCAUGCCUUACACAUGCAAGUCGAACGGCAGCACGGGAGCAAUCCUGGUGGCGAGUGGCGAACGGGUGAGUAAUAUAUCGGGAACGUGCCCAGUCGUGGGGGAUAACGUAGCGAAAGCUACGCUAAUACCGCAUACGAUCUAUGGAUGAAAGCGGGGGAUCGCAAGACCUCGCGCGAUUGGAGCGGCCGAUAUCAGAUUAGGUAGUUGGUGAGGUAAAGGCUCACCAAGCCGACGAUCUGUAGCUGGUCUGAGAGGACGACCAGCCACACUGGGACUGAGACACGGCCCAGACUCCUACGGGAGGCAGCAGUGGGGAAUUUUGGACAAUGGGCGCAAGCCUGAUCCAGCAAUGCCGCGUGCAGGAUGAAGGCCUUCGGGUUGUAAACUGCUUUUGUACGGAACGAAACGGUGAGCUCUAAUACAGUUUGCUAAUGACGGUACCGUAAGAAUAAGCACCGGCUAACUACGUG